CCUACGGGCGGCAGCAGUGGGGAAUAUUGGACAAUGGGCGAAAGCCUGAUCCAGCCAUGCCGCGUGUGUGAAGAAGGCCUUCGGGUUGUAAAGCACUUUCAGUGGGGAAGAAAGCCUUGGGGCUAAUACCCUCGAGGAAGGACAUCACCCACAGAAGAAGCACCGGCUAACUCCGUGCCAGCAGCCGCGGUAAUACGGAGGGUGCGAGCGUUAAUCGGAAUUACUGGGCGUAAAGCGCGCGUAGGCGGUCUGAUAAGCCGGUUGUGAAAGCCCCGGGCUCAACCUGGGAACGGCAUCCGGAACUGGCAGGCUAGAGUGCAGGAGAGGAAGGUAGAAUUCCCGGUGUAGCGGUGAAAUGCGUAGAGAUCGGGAGGAAUACCAGCGGCGAAGGCGGCCUUCUGGACUGACACUGACGCUGAGGUGCGAAAGCGUGGGUAGCAAACAGGAUUAGAUACCCCAGUAGUC
rnacentral:rRNA from 1 species